UCUUUUCCUGCUGGUUGAGGAUUGUUAGUGGUGGAGUGACCCCUUGUUAGCCACUCAGAAGAGGCCGGCCAUUAACACGCCUCGGACGCGAGCCGGUCAACCUGACCAAAUGAUUGGGUCGUUAACCCUGUACCCUCCAACCCAACAAGCUGGCGCGCCUGACCCCAAACAGCCAGACUACUCCUGGCCGCUGUUCAAGCACCACACCACUUCUUAAGGCUCCCAAAGGGUUGGUGGCGACGUACAACACAACUGGACUAUAAUGGACAUCACUGACAACGGCAAUGAAACUGAACUUCUAUGCAAUUAACGCAACGUGCAGCAACACGGCCAAUAACUACAACUUUGGCGGCAAGCUUAAGAUCUGAGCAGACUUCUUGAGUGCACGCGACACGUCUGUGUCAAUGGCAACACAACCAUCAUGGCAUCGGAUAACUGACUUCCUACGUCAACUUAGACUGCAACUUCCGCCUUUGUCACUACUUCAACAGACUUCUGAACGAUAAAGGAAGAUCGUGACGCAACUAUACACAUUUUGCUCCAAGGCAAUUGUUAUUACUAGAUAUUAUAUAAUAAAACAUUAUAUUUCCAAA
rnacentral:lncRNA from 1 species